GACGAACGCUGGCGGCGUGCUUAACACAUGCAAGUCGAACGGAAAGGCCCUGCUUUUGUGGGGUGCUCGAGUGGCGAACGGGUGAGUAACACGUGAGUAACCUGCCCUUGACUUUGGGAUAACUUCAGUAAACUGGGGCUAAUACCGGAUAGGAGCUCCUGCUGCAUGGUGGGGGUUGGAAAGUUUCGGCGGUUGGGGAUGGACUCGCGGCUUAUCAGCUUGUUGGUGGGGUAGUGGCUUACCAAGGCUUUGACGGGAAGCCGGCCUGAGAGGGUGACCGGCCACAUUGGGACUGAGAUACGGCCGAGACUCCUACGGGAGGAAGCAGUGGGGAAUAAUGCACAAUGGGCGGAAGCCUGAUGAAGCAACGCCGCGUGCGGGAUGACGGCCUUCGGGUUGUAGACCGCUUUCGCCUGUGACGAAGAGUGAGUGACGGUAAUGGGUAAAGAAGCACCGGCUAACUACGUG
rnacentral:rRNA from 1 species